GACGAACGCUGGCGGCGUGCUUAACACAUGCAAGUCGAGCGGAAAGGCCACUUCGGUGGUACUCGAGCGGCGAACGGGUGAGUAACACGUGAGUAAUCUGCCCUUGUCUUUGGGAUAGCCACCGGAAACGGUGAUUAAUACCGGAUACGACCACUCCAGGCAUCUGGUGGUGGUGGAAAGUUUUUCGGCCAGGGAUGUGCUCGCGGCCUAUCAGCUUGAUGGUGAGGUAAUGGCUCACCAUGGCUUCGACGGGUAGCCGGCCUGAGAGGGUGACCGGUCACACUGGGACUGAGACACGGCCCAGACUCCUACGGGAGGCAGCAGUGGGGAAUAUUGGACAAUGGGCGGAAGCCUGAUCCAGCAACGCCGCGUGAGGGAUGACGGCCUUCGGGUUGUAAACCUCUUUCGGUAGGGACGAAGCGCAAGUGACGGUACCUACUAAAGAAGCACCGGCCAACUACGUG
rnacentral:rRNA from 1 species